rnacentral:misc_RNA from 1 species
AGUCGUAACAAGGUUUCUGUAGGUGAACCUGCAGAAGGAUCAUUAGUGAAAGUUUCGGGCCUGCCAUACGGACGCAAACACGUCUCUGGCGCCCAUCACUAUAUCCAUACCAACCCCUGUGCACUGUGAUGACGAAUGUCAUCGAACAAAAAAAAACUCGUAUGGUUGAAUGUACGUGAAAUUGUAGGUAUAGCCUACGAACUAUACACAACUUUCGACAACGGAUCUCUUGGUUCUCCCAUCGAUGAAGAACGCAGCGAAACGCGAUAGGUAAUGUGAAUUGCAGAAUUCCGUGAAUCAUCGAAUCUUUGAACGCACCUUGCGCUCCAUGGUAUUCCGUGGAGCAUGCCUGUUUGAGUGCCGCGAAUUCUCCCUCCCCUUACGGUGGCCGAAAGGCCGAAGUAGGGCGGACGGGGUAGGAUGGGUGUUUGCUGCCUGGGGAUUGUACCAGGCUCGCCCGAAAUGCAUAAGCGCCAGGACCCUCGCUACCGCUCUCUAGGGAAGAGUGGCUAAGCGACCGCUGAGCAUGGCAUGAUACGUCAUUUGCUGUGUGUGGGCGGCCGGUUGGAGAGGUGUCUGCUUUACCAGCCCUAUUUUAAUUCUGGUCUCAAAUCAGGUAGGAUCACCCGCUGAACCUAAGCAUAUCAAUAAGCGGAGG